rnacentral:rRNA from 1 species
UGCCAGCCGCCGCUGUACUCCUGAGUUUGCAAUCGUUAAUCGGAAUUACUGGGCGUAAAGCGUACGUAGGCGGCUUGUUAAGUCGGAUGUGAAAGCCCCGGGCUCAACCUGGGAAUUGCAUACGAUACUGGCAGGCUAGAGUGUAGCAGAGGUAAGUGGAAUUUCCGGUGUAGCGGUGAAAUGCGUAGAGAUCGGAAGGAACAUCAGUGGCGAAGGCGACUUACUGGGUUAACACUGACGCUGAGGUACGAAAGCGUGGGGAGCAAACAGGAUUAGAUA